AGAGGAAGCUGCGGACAGGGGCUGUGAGGUGGCAGCGGCUGCAGCGGCGGAGCCGGCGCCUCAGCGGGCACUGGGGUCUGUUCCCCCUUCCCCGUCCCUGCUCCCUGCCAGGCGCGUGCGGGACGCCGCUCUUGGUCCCCACGCCUCCGCCCCGCCCCCUCCCGGGACGCCGGGAGACCCCGGCCGUCCUUUAUCCGGUGUCCGCCGGCCCCCGGCCCUGAAACCCGGGCCUCCUCCCCGAGGGCCUUGGGCGUCCCUCCUGGUCCUGCGCUCGCGGCCUCGAUGCUGUCUCUGGCGCGGCCUCCGCUCCCGCCGACUGGCCUGAGAACGAGGUCUGUGCCCCAGUCUCCCAGCCGCGACCUCCGACCCCGCCUCGCAGAACGACCCGAGCUGGUCUCCCGAGCCCCCUUCUCAGCAGCCCGGUGACGUGGCCAGUUUAUUUCUGUUUUGAGACGAACGGCGAAGACUCGCGUCGGGUCUUCGUUCUAGGGCUAGACUUGGUCUCUGAUCGCCGAGAGGUAGCGCAGGGGCUGUGGGCCCCCGGCAGGGGUCCUGUCGGAAGCUGGCCGCGCUUCUGUUUGCGUUCCCAGGACCCUGGCAUUGUCUCUAGUUGCUGCUUGUGCUCUCUCUUUGCUUUUGGUUUGCUUCAUUUGGCCCCUGGGGCCCUGGUAAAACCAGGCACCGAAUCGCUCGCACACAGAGUUCCAGUCCCCGCCUGCUGUCUCCUCAGCAGCUGGGGUUCCGAGGAGAAUGCCCUGCAAGAUGGCUCCAUCGGCCAUGGCGCUCCUGAGAGGCUGUCAGUGCUGAGUCACCGAUCUACCUCAUUCGGGUGGGCAGAACUUAUGUGUGCCAUGCGAGUGGCUCCAGACCGCUCCUGAGUGGGAGGAGGGGUUCCUGUAGCCGUUGCGUCUUCUCAAACACGGGGAGCAGAGUAGAAAGAGGCUCUGGCCCCUUCCCUUGUGCCCACCGGGCCUGCCGCAGUGGCUCAGCAGCCCCUUCAGUAGCCCGCCUGAGGACCGAUGCCAGAGGCAGGCAUUCUUCCGGAAAGGCCCACUGAGGCAGGCUCCGGCUCCUCUGGUUGGGGCUGUUGUUUUGAUGGAUCGUGUGCUUUUCCCUUACCUCUUAUCACUUGCUGUCAUCUGUUGACUUAGGCCCAGUCUGCAGAUGUGUGUAGUGUUCCUUUUUGGGUUAGCUUUGGCAGUAUUGAGUUUUACUUCCUCCUCUUUUUAGUGGAAGACAGACCAUAAUCCCAGUGUGAGUGAAAUUGAUUGUUUCAUUUAUUACCGUUUUGGCUGGGGGUUAGUUCCGACACCUUCACAGUUGAAGAGCAGGCAGAAGGAGUUGUGAAGACAGGACAAUCUUCUUGGGGAUGCUGGUCCUGGAAGCCAGCGGGCCUCGCUCUGUCUUUGGCCUCAUUGACCCCAGGUUCUCUGGUUAAAACUGAAAGCCUACUACUGGCCUGGUGCCCAUCAAUCCAUUGAUCCUUGAGGCUGUGCCCCUGGGGCACCCACCUGGCAGGGCCUACCACCAUGCGACUGAGCUCCCUGUUGGCUCUGCUGCGGCCAGCGCUUCCCCUCAUCUUAGGGCUGUCUCUGGGGUGCAGCCUGAGCCUCCUGCGGGUUUCCUGGAUCCAGGGGGAGGGAGAAGAUCCCUGUGUCGAGGCUGUAGGGGAGCGAGGAGGGCCACAGAAUCCAGAUUCCAGAGCUCGGCUAGACCAAAGUGAUGAAGACUUCAAACCCCGGAUUGUCCCCUACUACAGGGACCCCAACAAGCCCUACAAGAAGGUGCUCAGGACUCGGUACAUCCAGACAGAGCUGGGCUCCCGUGAGCGGUUGCUGGUGGCUGUCCUGACCUCCCGAGCUACACUGUCCACUUUGGCCGUGGCUGUGAACCGUACGGUGGCCCAUCACUUCCCUCGGUUACUCUACUUCACUGGGCAGCGGGGGGCCCGGGCUCCAGCAGGGAUGCAGGUGGUGUCUCAUGGGGAUGAGCGGCCCGCCUGGCUCAUGUCAGAGACCCUGCGCCACCUUCACACACACUUUGGGGCCGACUACGACUGGUUCUUCAUCAUGCAGGAUGACACAUAUGUGCAGGCCCCCCGCCUGGCAGCCCUUGCUGGCCACCUCAGCAUCAACCAAGACCUGUACUUAGGCCGGGCAGAGGAGUUCAUUGGCGCAGGCGAGCAGGCCCGGUACUGUCAUGGGGGCUUUGGCUACCUGUUGUCACGGAGUCUCCUGCUUCGUCUGCGGCCACAUCUGGAUGGCUGCCGAGGAGACAUUCUCAGUGCCCGUCCUGACGAGUGGCUUGGACGCUGCCUCAUUGACUCUCUGGGCGUCGGCUGUGUCUCACAGCACCAGGGGCAGCAGUAUCGCUCAUUUGAACUGGCCAAAAAUAGGGACCCUGAGAAGGAAGGGAGCUCGGCUUUCCUGAGUGCCUUCGCCGUGCACCCUGUCUCCGAAGGUACCCUCAUGUACCGGCUCCACAAACGCUUCAGCGCUCUGGAGUUGGAGCGGGCUUACAGUGAAAUAGAACAACUGCAGAACUGUCCCAAGAAAGCCCAAGGGUAGAAGGGAGAAUUCUCAAGUUGAACGUCAGGCUUGGCAGAGGUGGAGUGUAGAUGAAAACAAAGGUGUGAUUAUGAAGAGGAUGUGAGUCCUUUGGGUGUAGGAGAGAAAGGCUGUUGAGCUUCUAUUUCAAGAUACUUUUACCUGUGCAAAAAGCACAUUUUCCACCUCCUUCUCAUGGCAUUUGUGUAAGGCUCAGAUCCGGAACCUGACCGUGCUGACCCCCGAAGGGGAGGCAGGGCUGAGCUGGCCCGUUGGGCUCCCUGCUCCUUUCACACCACACUCUCGCUUUGAGGUGCUGGGCUGGGACUACUUCACAGAGCAGCACACCUUCUCCUGUGCAGAUGGGGCUCCCAAGUGCCCACUACAGGGGGCUAGCAGGGCGGACGUGGGUGAUGCGUUGGAGACUGCCCUGGAGCAGCUCAAUCGGCGCUAUCAGCCCCGCCUGCGCUUCCAGAAGCAGCGACUGCUCAACGGCUAUCGGCGCUUCGACCCAGCACGGGGCAUGGAGUACACCCUGGACCUGCUGUUGGAAUGUGUGACACAGCGUGGGCACCGGCGGGCCCUGGCUCGCAGGGUCAGCCUGCUGCGGCCACUGAGCCGGGUGGAAAUCCUACCUAUGCCCUAUGUCACUGAGGCCACCCGAGUGCAGCUGGUGCUGCCACUCCUGGUGGCUGAAGCUGCUGCAGCCCCGGCUUUCCUCGAGGCCUUUGCAGCCAAUGUCCUGGAGCCACGAGAACAUGCAUUGCUCACCCUGUUGCUGGUCUACGGGCCACGAGAAGGUGGCCGUGGAGCUCCAGACCCAUUUCUUGGGGUGAAGGCUGCAGCAGCGGAGUUAGAGCGACGGUACCCUGGGACGAGGCUGGCCUGGCUCGCUGUGCGAGCAGAGGCCCCUUCCCAGGUGCGACUCAUGGACGUGGUCUCGAAGAAGCACCCUGUGGACACUCUCUUCUUCCUUACCACCGUGUGGACAAGGCCUGGGCCCGAAGUCCUCAACCGCUGUCGCAUGAAUGCCAUCUCUGGCUGGCAGGCCUUCUUUCCAGUCCAUUUCCAGGAGUUCAAUCCUGCCCUGUCACCACAGAGAUCACCCCCAGGGCCCCCGGGGGCUGGCCCUGACCCCCCCUCCCCUCCUGGUGCUGACCCCUCCCGGGGGGCUCCUAUAGGGGGGAGAUUUGACCGGCAGGCUUCUGCGGAGGGCUGCUUCUACAACGCUGACUACCUGGCGGCCCGAGCCCGGCUGGCAGGUGAACUGGCAGGCCAGGAAGAGGAGGAAGCCCUGGAGGGGCUGGAGGUGAUGGAUGUUUUCCUCCGGUUCUCAGGGCUCCACCUCUUUCGGGCCGUAGAGCCAGGGCUGGUGCAGAAGUUCUCCCUGCGAGACUGCAGCCCACGGCUCAGUGAAGAACUCUACCACCGCUGCCGCCUCAGCAACCUGGAGGGGCUAGGGGGCCGUGCCCAGCUGGCUAUGGCUCUCUUUGAGCAGGAGCAGGCCAAUAGCACUUAGCCCGCCUGGGGGCCCUAACCUCAUUACCUUUCCUUUGUCUGCCUCAGCCCCAGGAAGGGCAAGGCAAGAUGGUGGACAGAUAGAGAAUUGUUGCUGUAUUUUUUAAAUAUGAAAAUGUUAUUAAACAUGUCUUCUGCCAAA